rnacentral:rRNA from 1 species
GACGAACGUUGGCGGCGUGCCUAAUACAUGCAAGUAGAACGCUGAAGGAGGAGCUUGCUUCUCUGGAUGAGUUGCGAACGGGUGAGUAACGCGUAGGUAACCUGCCUGGUAGCGGGGGAUAACUAUUGGAAACGAUAGCUAAUACCGCAUAAGAGUAGAUGUUGCAUGACAUUUGCUUAAAAGGUGCAAUUGCAUCACUACCAGAUGGACCUGCGUUGUAUUAGCUAGUUGGUGGGGUAACGGCUCACCAAGGCGACGAUACAUAGCCGACCUGAGAGGGUGAUCGGCCACACUGGGACUGAGACACGGCCCAGACUCCUACGGGAGGCAGCAGUAGGGAAUCUUCGGCAAUGGACGGAAGUCUGACCGAGCAACGCCGCGUGAGUGAAGAAGGUUUUCGGAUCGUAAAGCUCUGUUGUAAGAGAAGAACGAGUGUGAGAGUGGAAAGUUCACACUGUGACGGUAUCUUACCAGAAAGGGACGGCUAACUACGUG